UACGUAGGGGGCUAGCGUUGUCCGGAAUCAUUGGGCGUAAAGAGCGUGUAGGCGACCCGGUAAGUCCGCUGUGAAAGUCCAAGGCUCAACCUUUGAAUGUCAGCGGAUACUGCCGGGCUAGAGUCCGGAAGAGGCGAGUGGAACUCCUGGUGUAGCGGUGGAAUGCGCAGAUAUCAGGAAGAACACCAACGGCGAAGGCAGCUCGCUGGGACGGUACUGACGCUGAGGCGCGAAAGCGUGGGGAGCGAACAGG
rnacentral:rRNA from 1 species